UAAGAUAAAAAUAUGCAUAAAAUUAAGCCCUAUCAAGCAGCCAUGGCAAAUCGUCCAUUGGCCUUCCCUUAUCAAUGGUCUCCGCCAUCACAGCCACACUGUCAACUGACCACCUUCGUCGAUCGUCAACCAACCACAGGCCGCAUCUACUGUCAACCAUCAUUCCCUUUUCUUAUUCGUAGCCGACCACAACUAUAAUACCCCAUAUUUUUGUGAAGAUGCCAUAUAUUUUAAGUUAGUUUAAAAUAUCAAAAAAUAUACUUAAAAUGGCAACAAGUGACCGAAUCGGUCGCAGGGAGUGCCCUGGAGCUUAGAUACCUAAAGACAAAAGUAUAUAUUUGACGAGCGUCCCGAUGUGAGAUUUAUGUCACUGAAAGAAAUAAAAUGAGAGACGAUUUUCGGUUAAGCUAAGUUGUAGCCUAAAAAGAUCGAAUGAUGGUAAGGGCUUCCCGGAAAUCGUACAUAUCAAGUAAUUUUGAGUUAUUAAUUUUGAGAUUUUAGGUUCUCGAUAAAUUUGAUGUUUGAUGGUGUAAUUGUAAUUAGAGAAGUAUCCAAAUGAAAUAAGGAUGAAAUUAUAAGCUCAUGUGGUAAAAUAUUAAAGUUGAGAACUUGAAAUAAGGGCCAAAAUGUCAUUUGGAAGAAGUUUGGGGUUUUAGCUUGGAUUUCAAAAGUUAAAUUCAUUCUAACUUUGGAUUUUAAAAGCCAUUCAAUUAUAGGAUUGAGUCUUUGGAGUCCAUGGCUAAGAUUGUGACAAGUGGCAUAAUAUGAUUGGUUCAAGUAAUCUAUAAAUAGGCACCGUGGGUUGUUCUCAAAUCAUUCAAGGAAGCUUUGAGAGUUGAGGCAUUCUAAGUGGAGGAGCGUGCUCUAGAGAGAGAGGAGGAAGUUCUCCAAGAAGUCGGGAAGAAAGCGGUGGAGAAGCGGCAGACAACGAGCCUCGUCGGAAUUGCGGGUCUUCGCCGGAAUUCGCCAAAAUCAGUCAGAAAAAAAGCAAGAAACCUAAGCCGUUUGCUGUGAAGUUAUAUCGUCCAAGAGAUAAACCAACAAGGAAAAAGUCGGAUAUCCCCCGAGAUGUGCUAUGCGUGCGCCAUCAAGAAAGCUCUCGUGGGGAAGAUCGUGAGCCUAAGGGACAACGGAUGUGGUGCUUGCAUGAGUUCUAUGAGGUCGGACCAAGGUGACAUGGUUAAGGACCUCCAGAGAGGCGCUAUGCGUGCGUCAUUGAGAAAGCUCUCGUUAGAGGAGGCUGAUGUGUUCACGAGGUUCGACAAGCGGCUCUAAGGGAAAUGAGGUAGCUGAAGAAUAAGUUUAAUUUGCUGCUUAUAGCUUGUUUAUCAUAUCGAUGUUUAUGUGCGAACCUAUGUAUGAUUUGGAUAUGUUUAAGACGUUCAGUUAUCACUUGUGAGAGAUGAUGUAAUACAUUUUGUAGGUGUCUUGAACGAUUUUAUUUAUGAUAAAUAAAAUAUUAUGGUUGUGGACCAUAUCAA